rnacentral:tRNA from 1 species
GAUGGCAUAGCUCAGUGGUAGAGCACAUGCUUAGCAUGCAUGAGGUACUGGGUUCAAUCUCUAAUCCCUCCA